rnacentral:rRNA from 1 species
GAUGAACGCUGGCGGCGUGCCUAAUACAUGCAAGUCGAGCGAACGGACGAGAAGCUUGCUUUUCUGAUGUUAGCGGCGGACGGGUGAGUAACACGUGGAUAACCUACCUAUAAGACUGGGAUAACUUCGGGAAACCGGAGCUAAUACCGGAUAAUAUUUUGAACCGCAUGGUUCAAAAGUGAAAGACGGUCUUGCUGUCACUUAUAGAUGGAUCCGCGCUGCAUUAGCUAGUUGGUAAGGUAACGGCUUACCAAGGCAACGAUGCAUAGCCGACCUGAGAGGGGGAUCGGCCACACGGGAACUGAGAAACGGUCCAGACUACUACGGGAGGCAGCAGUAGGGAAUAUUCCGAAAUGGGCGAAAGCAUGACGGAGCAACGCCGCGUGAGUGAUGAAGGUCUUCGGAUCGUAAAACUCUGUUAUUAGGGAAGAAAAUAUGUGUAAGUAACUGUGCACAGCUUGACGGUACCUAAUCAGAAAGCCACGGCUAACUACGUG